UAGGGAAUCUUCGGCAAUGGGGGCAACCCUGACCGAGCAACGCCGCGUGAGUGAAGAAGGUUUUCGGAUCGUAAAGCUCUGUUGUAAGAGAAGAACGUGUGUGAGAGUGGAAAGUUCACACAGUGACGGUAACUUACCAGAAAGGGACGGCUAACAACGUGCCAGCAGCCGCGGUAAUACGUAGGUCCCGAGCGUUGUCCGGAUUUAUUGGGCGUAAAGCGAGCGCAGGCGGUUUAAUAAGUCUGAAGUUAAAGGCAGUGGCUUAACCAUUGUUCGCUUUGGAAACUGUUAAACUUGAGUGCAGAAGGGGAGAGUGGAAUUCCAUGUGUAGCGGUGAAAUGCGUAGAUAUAUGGAGGAACACCGGUGGCGAAAGCGGCUCUCUGGUCUGUAACUGACGCUGAGGCUCGAAAGCGUGGGGAGCAAACAGG
rnacentral:rRNA from 1 species